GUUUCUGUAGUGUAGUGGUUAUCAUGUUUGCCUAAAGGUCCCAGGUUCAAAACCUGGCAGAAACA
rnacentral:tRNA from 1 species